rnacentral:rRNA from 1 species
GACGAACGCUGGCGGCAUGCCUAAUACAUGCAAGUCGAACGCUGAAGCACUCUGCUUGCAGAGUGCGGAUGAGUGGCGAACGGGUGAGUAACACGUGGGAAAUCUGCCUAUAAGAGGGGGAUAACAUUCGGAAACGGAUGCUAAUACCGCAUAUAUUCUUGGACCGCCUGGUCCUUGAAAGAAAGACGGCUUUGCUGUCGCUUAUAGAUGAUCCCGCGGCGUAUUAGUUAGUUGGUGGGGUAAAGGCCUACCAAGACAAUGAUACGUAGCCGACCUGAGAGGGUGAUCGGCCACACUGGGACUGAGACACGGCCCAGACUCCUACGGGAGGCAGCAGUAGGGAAUCUUCCACAAAGGGCGAAAGCCUGAUGGAGCAAUGCCGCGUGAAUGAAGAAGGUCUUCGGAUCGUAAAGUUCUGUUAUUAGAGAAGAACAAGUCAAGGAGUAACUGUCUUGACUUUGACGGUACCUAACCAGAAAGUCACGGCUAACUACGUG